rnacentral:rRNA from 1 species
GUUGUAUGGUUAAGUGACUAAGCGUACACGGUGGAUGCCUUGGCAGUCAGAGGCGAUGAAAGACGUAGUAACUUGCGAUAAGCCCAGAUUAGGUAGUAACAACCAUUUGAGUCUGGGAUUUCUGAAUGGGGAAACCCACGUGCAUAAGCACGUAUCCUUACCUGAAUACAUAGGGUAAGGAAGCGAACCGGGGGAACUGAAACAUCUAAGUACCCCGAGGAAAAGAAAUCAACCGAGAUUCCGAAAGUAGCGGCGAGCGAAAUUGGACUAGCCCUUAAGCUUUACACGCGUUAGACGAACGGUCUGGAAAGUCCGACGAUACAGGGUGAUAGUCCCGUAGUUGACGACGUGUGUUCAGUGAAAUCGAGUAGGGCGGGACACGUGAUAUCCUGUCUGAAUAUGGGGGGACCAUCCUCCAAGGCUAAAUACUACUGACUGACCGAUAGUGAACCAGUACCGUGAGGGAAAGGCGAAAAGAACCCCUGUGAGGGGAGUGAAAUAGAACCUGAAACCGUGUACGUACAAGCAGUAGGAGCAGGCUUUGUCCUGUGACUGCGUACCUUUUGUAUAAUGGGUCAGCGACUUAUAUUCAGUGGCAAGGUUAACCAUCUAGGGGAGCCGUAGGGAAACCGAGUCUUAACUGGGCGUUCAGUCUCUGGAUAUAGACCCGAAACCAGGUGAUCUAGCCAUGGGCAGGUUGAAGGUUGAGUAACAUCAACUGGAGGACCGAACCGACUAAUGUUGAAAAAUUAGCGGAUGACUUGUGGCUAGGGGUGAAAGGCCAAUCAAACCUGGAGAUAGCUGGUUCUCCCCGAAAGCUAUUUAGGUAGCGCCUCGGACGAAUACUACUGGGGGUAGAGCACUGUUAAGGCUA